rnacentral:rRNA from 1 species
GACGAACGCUGGCGGCGUGCUUAACACAUGCAAGUCGAACGGUAAGGCCCUUCGGGGUACACGAGCGGAGAACGGGUGAGUAACACGUGGGUGAUCUGCCCUGCACUUCGGGAUAAGCCUGGGAAACUGGGUCUAAUACCGGAUAGGACCACUGCCUGCAUGGGUGGUGGUGGAAAGCUUUUGCGGUGUGGGAUGGGCCCGCGGCCUAUCAGCUUGUUGGUGGGGUGAUGGCCUACCAAGGCGACGACGGGUAGCCGGCCUGAGAGGGUGACCGGCCACACUGGGGCUGAGAUACGGCCCAGACUCCUACGGGAGGCAGCAGGGGGGAAUAUUGCACAAUGGGCGCAAGCCUGAUGCAGCGACGCCGCGUGAGGGAUGACGGCCUUCGGGUUGUAAACCUCUUUCAGCACCGACGAAGCGCAAGUGACGGUAGGUGCGGAAGAAGGACCGGCCAACUACGUGCCAGCCGCCGCCGUAA